GGGGGUAUAGCUCUGUGGUAGAGCAUUCGACUGCAGAUCGAGAGGUUCUCGGCUCCAACUAGGGUGUCCUCU